rnacentral:rRNA from 1 species
CAGCACCUCAAGUGGUCAGGAUGAUUAUUGGGCCUGAAGCAUCCGUAGCCGGCUCUGUAAGUUUUCGGUUAAAUCUGUACGCUCAACGUACAGGCUGCCGGGAAUACUGCAGAGCUAGGGAGUGGGAGAGGUAGACGAUACUCGGUAGGAAGGGGUAAAAUCCUUUGAUCUAUUGAUGACCACCUGUGGCGAAGGCGGUCUACCAGAACACGUCCGACGGUGAGGGAUGAAAGCUGGGGGAGCAAACCGGAUUAGAUACCCGCGUAGUCC